UCGCUGUUCCGCUCGUCGAGAUAGAGCACGGCGCAAGUUUUCGCCGGAUAAGGAAUUUCCGCACGAUCGUUGACCGACGAUGGCGUAAUUAGGAGAUUCGACGAUGUGAAAAUCGUGGAAAAAUACGCGAACGUAAUUGCAAAAAUAACGC